rnacentral:rRNA from 1 species
UACGUAGGGAGCAAGCGUUGUCCGGAAUCAUUGGGCGUAAAGCGCGCGUAGGUGGCCUCAUAAGUCCGCUGUGAAAGUCAAAAGGCUCAACCUUUGAAAGCCGGUGGAUACUGUGAGGCUAGAGUACGGAAGAGGCGAGUGGAAUUCCUGGUGUAGCGGUGGAAUGCGCAGAUAUCAGGAGGAACACCAACAGCGAAGGCAGCUCGCUGGGACGGUACUGACGCUAAGGCGCGAAAGCGUGGGGAGCAAACAGG